rnacentral:rRNA from 1 species
GACGAACGCUGGCGGCGUGCUUAACACAUGCAAGUCGAACGGAAAGGCCCUGCUUUUGUGGGGUGCUCGAGUGGCGAACGGGUGAGUAACACGUGAGUAACCUGCCCUUGACUUUGGGAUAACUUCAGGAAACUGGGGCUAAUACCGGAUAGGAGCUCCUGCUGCAUGGUGGGGGUUGGAAAGUUUCGGCGGUUGGGGAUGGACUCGCGGCUUAUCAGCUUGUUGGUGGGGUAGUGGCUUACCAAGGCUUUGACGGGUAGCCGGCCUGAGAGGGUGACCGGCCACAUGGGGACUGAGAUACGGCCCAGACUCCUACGGGAGGCAGCAGUGGGGAAUAUUGCACAAGGGGCGGAAGCCUGAGGCAGCAACGCCGCGUGCGGGAUGACGGCCUUCGGGUUGUAAACCGCUUUCGCCUGUGACGAAGCGUGAGUGACGGUAAUGGGGAAAGAAGCACCGGCUAACUACGU